AUUGAACGCUGGCGGCAGGCCUAACACAUGCAAGUCGAGCGGGGUUUUCGGACCUAGCGGCGGACGGGUGAGUAAUGCCUAGGAAUCUGCCUGGUAGUGGGGGAUAACGUUCGGAAACGGACGCUAAUACCGCAUACGUCCUACGGGAGAAAGCAGGAGACCUUCGGGCCUUGCGCUAUCAGAUGAGCCUAGGUCGGAUUAGCUAGUUGGUGGGGUAAUGGCUCACCAAGGCGACGAUCCGUAACUGGUCUGAGAGGAUGAUCAGUCACACUGGAACUGAGACACGGUCCAGACUCCUACGGGAGGCAGCAGUGGGGAAUAUUGGACAAUGGGCGAAAGCCUGAUCCAGCCAUGCCGCGUGUGUGAAGAAGGUCUUCGGAUUGUAAAGCACUUUAAGUUGGGAGGAAGGGCAGUAAGUUAAUACCUUGCUGUUUUGACGUUACCGACAGAAUAAGCACCGGCUAACUCUGUGCCAGCCGCCGCGGUAAAAC
rnacentral:rRNA from 1 species